rnacentral:lncRNA from 13 species
CUGGCAGCCCUGCUGUGCAGGAUGGUCGGGUCUCAGUGGCAGGGACUUCCUUACUUCCCUGCUAGGGAGAGAGGCUCACUGAAUAGGAAGCCAGGAAGUGUGUGUUCCUUGCUGUGUUCACAAAACACCUCAGCCUUCUGUUCUGACCACUGAGUUAACCUACACAAGAGUGACUCCUUUAGGCCUCCUCAGUCCAAGUGCUCAGCAAACUGACCAGAACAAUCCAGAAGCAGAAACCUACUCUCCCUGCAGUGCCAUCAGUCAGCUGGAUUUUAGACUUCAUUCCGUUUUGGUUACUGAAAUAGAGAAAUUUCAAACUCCUGAGCCACUGGGAGGAUGGACACUCUUCCUACCCCCAUCAGAAGGAGGAGUGGAGUGAUUUCAGGUAAUCAGGCACAGGUUCACCUGUAGGCAUUCAGUGUUGAUAA